CCUUAGAUGUUCUGGGCCGCACGCGCGCUACACUGAUACGUGCAUCGAGCUUACAACCUUGGCUGGGAGGCCUGGGUAAUCUUUUCAAAUCGUAUCGUGCUGGGGAUAGAUCAUUGUAAUUAUUAAUCUUCAACGAGGAAUUCCUAGUAAGCGCGAGUCAUCAACUCGCACUGAUUACGUCCCUGCCCUUUGUACACACCGCCCGUCGCUGCUACCGAUUGAAUGCAUUAGUGAGUCUUGGGGAUUGUUUCUCCUGAGGGUAAAACUUCGGGUUAAGUGAGAACCAAUACAAACUUGCGCAUUUAGAGGAAGCAAAAGUCGUAACAAGGUC
rnacentral:rRNA from 1 species